rnacentral:rRNA from 1 species
AGCAGUGGGGAAUUUUGGACAAUGGGCGCAAGCCUGAUCCAGCAAUGCCGCGUGAGUGAAGAAGGCCUUCGGGUUGUAAAGCUCUUUUGUCAGGGAAGAAACGGUGAGAGCUAAUAUCUCUUGCUAAUGACGGUACCUGAAGAAUAAGCACCGGCUAACUACGUGCCAGCAGCCGCGGUAAUACGUAGGGUGCAAGCGUUAAUCGGAAUUACUGGGCGUAAAGCGUGCGCAGGCGGUUUUGUAAGUUUGUCGUGAAAGCCCCGGGCUCAACCUGGGAAUUGCGAUGAAGACUGCAAGGCUUGAAUCUGGCAGAGGGGGGUAGAAUUCCACGUGUAACAGUGAACUGCGUAGAGAUGUGGAGGAAUACCGAUGGCGAAGCAGCCCCCUGGGUCAAGAUUGACGCUCAUG